CCCGCAGGGAGUUCGAAGGCUCCGAGGCUGCUCCCAUACGCACUGGUGGAAGGAGAGGCCGCGCUCCCGGCUGAGCACGGUGUCACGGGUGCUGCAGCCCACUGCGGAGCAACUUCGGGUCAUCUUCUUGUUACGUGGGGCCCCACCUUCGGGGUUCCCGCGACAGCAUGAAUCACGACCACUUUAGCUCCGCCCGUUGACUGCGGCUACGACCUUUAUUUGUCAGGAAAGGCGGGCUUUAGAGGCGCGGGACUUCCACACUUCCUCUCCGAAGGCCCUGCGCCGGUACCGUAGCCAAUCACAGGCCACGUUGUGUCGCAGCAGCCAAUCGGAAGGGCCUGAGCCUGAAGACGUGCACUUGACCGCUCCUCCUUCCGCGUUGGAGGCCCAAUAGUGGGUUUUGCUGCCACCGGUUCAUUUUCCUUCUGUUUUCACCCAUUCUGGCACAAUCCGCCGCCAUCGUCGUUCUUUGUGAGACCGAGCCUGAAAAUGCGAAGCAGAGAGGCAGGACCAAAAUUGAGGCGAAUCCGGGAACCUGCCAAUGGGUCUCUGGAUGCGUUCUCUGAAACUGGAGGAUAUCGGGAAGAAAGGCUCUCCGAUGCGGAGAUAAUGCGGAAACUCUUGGCAUGGUUGGCAGUAGGUACCUGAUACGGGAGGAGCGGGAGUCAAAUAGGAUACGCCCACUUUUAAUUCGAGGAACUCUUCUGAAACACUGCCACAAUGAAGGACAUAAGGAGUCAUGCUCAGAGAUGUCAAGAAAAGAUACAUGGGUCUUGGAAGAUAAUUACUCAAAAUAUGCAGGUAGUAUAUUUUUCUAUUCUAAAUGUGUUAAGUAUUCCUGGAACUAUAGCAGUGAGUUGGAAAUGGAGGAUUGUCCAAGUAAAAAACAUUUAUAAAGGAUUUGAUGAAAUCUAAUUAUUUUAUGGUAUAGAAUCUUAUUAAUUGUCCACUUGGAAAGAAUAAUAACAAAUUAUUUAUUGGCCCAUUACUAUGGGCCACACAUUAUGCUGAGCUUUUUAUUAUUUUAUUUUAUUUUUUUGAGAUGGGGUCUCACUCUGUCACCCAGGCUGGAGUGCAGUGGCACAAUCUCAGCUCACUGCAACCUCUGUCUUCCAGGCUCAAGCAAUCUUCCCACCUCAGCCUCCUAAGUAGCUGGGACCAUAGGCAUGUACCACUACACCUGGCUAAUUUUUUUUUGUAUUUUUGGUAGAGACAGGGUUUUGCUGUGUUGCCCAGGUUGCUAAGCUUUUUAUAUAGAGUAUAUAGAAAGAGUUGGUUUUCUUAAACACUGUUUAUUUCUUAUAAUAGCUAUGAAAGCAGAUACAGACUUCUUGCUUUCUAGGGUUGGUAUCUUGCUUGUUGAGCACCUAUCCCUUUUGUCUUGCCAAAUUUUUCAUUGUUUGAGUUCUGUCUUUUGUUUCAGAAAGCCAUGGAGUUUUGAAAUUAUUGUUAAAUCAUUAUUUGUUACAUAAUUAUUUCUACUUCUAGAAUCUCAUGCUAACUUGGAAGUGUCUUCUCAGCAUCAAGCCUGAUAUAGAGGGGCAGCUACACCCUAAUGUACUCCAAAACUAGUUAUGCUUUGUUUUAUACGUAAUGCUUCUAUUAUUAGACAAGUGGUUUCCAACUAUUAGAAGCAGUGCUAAGA